UAUAUUGAGUGCAACGCUAGCAUGCAUGCAGUGCCCCUGGAAGCAGAUAUGCCCACAGGCUUGGAGCAGGCUCAGAGUUGCUGUUUGAGAUGCAGCAGCGACUAGCCUGGUAUGGCUCUAAUGUAUCGAUGGAGACCUUCCGGGCGAUCUGGGACCAGGUGACCGUCGAGUUCCUGAUGGCUAAAAUGAGGGGAGCGGAAGGUGUUGUCCUUCCUCCCCAGCGGCAGAGUGUGUUAUUGGUAGAAGAGAGACCCAUCACAGGGAGAGGAGACAACUGGUCUCUCCCCAGCAGCAGCCGGAGGUACCCGAAGUAGGGGACCUCAUAGACUGGUCCUGGGAGGAACCCCAACUGGCAGGUGGAAAUGGGACCAAAGUCUCUCCACUGGCCCUACAGGGAUGUUGGGCAGCCGGCCCAGAUCCCAGCUACAGCCGGAGGUACCCGAAGUAGGAACCCCAACUGCCAGGUGGAAAUGGGACCAAAGAUGAAGAUGGGUGACAAAGUCCCCUUUUCCUGUGAGUUUGUCAUGAGUCCUUGGAGGGGCCUGCUUGCCAGCCUCCUGCUCACAUCCUAUGGACCCUGUAAACUGUGAUAUAAAAGUCUCUGUUUGUCUAUUUGAAUGAUAUGUUUCGGUAACUGAGCAGCCGCAUGAACCAGAGACCACCCUGGAGCUUGUUAAACUUAAUUGGUACAUUGUUGCAAUUUCCACCGCAGUGGUCUAAGUGUUCAUCUGGGUGGCCGCAAUUCCCAUGGACCAAAACCGCGAAUAGACUACAGGGGGACAUCGCUGCAAAUGCCCUGGAACUAUUUUCGGCAU